rnacentral:rRNA from 1 species
CCUACGGGGGGCAGCAGUGAGGAAUAUUGGUCAAUGGCCGCAGGGCUGAACCAGCCAAGUCGCGUGAGGGAUGACGGUCCUAUGGAUUGUAAACCUCUUUUGUCAGGGAGCAAAGGGCGCCACGUGUGGCGCUUUGCGAGUACCUGAAGAAAAAGCAUCGGCUAACUCCGUGCCAGCAGCCGCGGUAAUACGGAGGAAGCGAGCGUUAUCCGGAUUUAUUGGGUUUAAAGGGUGCGCAGGCGGAAUGUCAAGUCAGCGGUAAAAUUUCGGGGCUCAACCCCGUCGUGCCGUUGAAACUGGCGUUCUUGAGUGAGCGAGAAGUAUGCGGAAUGCGUGGUGUAGCGGUGAAAUGCAUAGAUAUCACGCAGAACUCCGAUUGCGAAGGCAGCAUACCGGCGCUCAACUGACGCUCAUGCACGAAAGCGUGGGGAUCGAACAGGAUUAGAUACCCCUGUAGUC